UACAGAGGGCGCGAGCGUUGUCCGGAAUCACUGGGCGUAAAGGGCGCGUAGGUGGCGGCAUAAGGCCGCGGUGAAAGUCUGGGGCUCAACCCCAGAUCGGCCGCGGCGACUGUGUCGCUCGAGCACGGUAGAGGCAGAUGGAAUUCCGGGUGUAGCGGUGGAAUGCGUAGAUAUCGGAAGGAACACCGGUGGCGAAGGCGGCACGCUGGGCCCGCCCUGACGCUGAGGCGCGAAAGCCAGGGGAGCGAACGGG
rnacentral:rRNA from 1 species